rnacentral:rRNA from 1 species
UACGUAGGUGGCGAGCGUUAUCCGGAUUUACUGGGUGUAAAGGGCGUGCAGGCGGGUCCGCAAGUCGGGUGUGAAAUAUCCGGGCUUAACCCGGAAAGGUCAUUCGAAACUGCGGAUCUUGAGUACUGGAGAGGACAGUGGAAUUCCUGGUGUAGCGGUAAAAUGCGUAGAUAUCAGGAGGAACACCAGUGGCGAAGGCGGCUGUCUGGACAGUAACUGACGCUGAGGCGCGAAAGCGUGGGGAGCAAACAGG